rnacentral:lncRNA from 1 species
GCCGGGGCCAGCCGGGCCCGCACCCUGUGGGGCCGGCCUCUCGGCGCCGCCGCCGCCGCGUGCGGGAUGCGGGACCGGAAACGCGGAGCAGGGUGGGCGGGGGCACGUGAGAGCCGCUGCGAGUGAGAGCGUGCCGGAGGGUGACGCUGGCGUGUAAGAGGGACCUUGAGCGUGAGGGUGACUCCAGGAGUGUGGGAGACCUUGAGUGUAAGACUGAGCGUGGGAGAAAGACUCCGUGUGUGAGAGAGAGACUCCGAGUCUGAGGGCGACUGUGAGUGUGCAAGACCGGGUGUGAGAUGACGCUGAGAGUAUGGGAGAAACCUUGUAAGGGAGACUCUGUUUGAGUAUGUGUGUGUGAGAGAGAGAGGGACAGAGAAACAGACAUCCUGGACUAGAAGGAGGCUGCAUGUGGGUGAAACCCUGAUUCUGAGGGUGAGUCUGUGAGUGUGUAAGACCCUGAGUGUGAAGGUGGUGCUGUUAGUGUGAGGGAGACUCUGUGUGUAUGUGAGAGACCUCGGGUGUGAGGGUGAGUCCAUGUGUGAGAGAGACUGAGAGUGUGAGAAAGACUGAGAGGGAGAUUGUGAGUGUGAGGGAGACUGUGUGUGAGAGUGGCCCUAAGUGUGACACUGAAUGUGUGAGAGGGACUGUUUGAGAUAUGCAAGUGUGAGUCUCUGAAGGUAAGAACGAGAAGCUGUGCUGUGUGUAAGAGACUCUGAAAGUGAGGAAGGGCUGAGGGGGCGAGACUUGGAGGACGUGAACGCAAGAACAGAGCUUCUUGGGGAUGCUGAUAAUGGGCUCGUGUUGGGGCUUGGGAGUGCUGGCCUUUGGAGCUAGAGAAUGGUGCGCUCCUCUUUUUAUGGCUCUUUUUGGUGUCUCCACAUCCUGUCAUCUUGUUUGAUCAUCUCAUGUCGUACAUGGAAGGCGAUAUUUGUGAAACAUUCUGAGAAUUCUUCACUAAGCUCUAAGCAAACAGUCUAGGCACCAGGUUGUGUAAUGGUCAGUACAAAUAGGAAUCAAUAUUUAAUUUAACAGAUGUUUUUGAGUACCUCUUGUGUGCAGUGGGUUAUGUGCUUGGUGACACAGUUAAAAAGAAUUUGGUCUCUGCCCUUGAUGGGGGGGAAAAAAGCACUGCCAGCAAAUCUAGCACCGUGGUAGCAGAAUGCUCAGUUCUCCGAUGCUAAUCUCUGAGAGCUGCUCCCUGGUUUGAAGAUCUGGGAGGAGCAGACUUUUGAAAGCCUGUGAGUGCUUUCUGAAAUCAUUUUCAGCUUUCUUUGCUUGCUGUGAGGCUGUAUAGGAAACAGUCCAGGCUCCCUACAUUGCUGAGGUCCCAUUGUGUACUAGUGGCUUUUGCUUUCUGACUUUGGUCUCAGACUGUUCAAGUUCUUAUAUUUGAUUUUCCUUUCCUGAUAAAUAUGUAGAAAACCACAAGCCUGAUUUUUCUCCUAUCUUCCUCCUUCCCUGUCUGGCUGUGGACGUUAUUUUUAUUGCAGAUCAAGAGUAAAUACGAGUUAUAUGGCUGAUCUCCCUGGCAGUUCUUGGUACAGGAAAUUUCCUGACCUCUGUGCUGUCUGCUGUAGUCUCCAGGUUGUGGAUAUAUUUCUACAAAAGUGACGCAAACGGUGCUCAUGGGACCUGAGAUUCAGGGAAGGGCAGCUGUCUACACAUGCAUGAUUUGAGAUGACUGAGCUGGUUCUCUGACACAUUUGCUUCAGUUACAUUCCGCUGUGAGUGAGAGGGAACUUAUCAGUAAUUGAGUGCUGCUCCUGCUGGGCAUGUAAAGCUUAGAUUUUUACAAAGGGAAAUAUCGCCCUACUGCUUCUUAGGUUCCUUUUUUGAUAAGUUGUGUCUUACUCUUUAUUGCAGAGAUUAAAUGGUCAAGACAGGGACUGAGUACCGAUCCUGUGCUAGGCUUUGUACUUGGUGCUGCUGAAACAGACAAGGAGCUCACAGACUAGUUGAGAGAGACUGAAGGUAAGUAAAUGCAACAGAGUGAGGCAGAAGUUUGUACUAGAAGCGUUAGGGGCACAAGGAGAUAUGUGGAGCAAGAUGGUAGCGAGGAUGUUGAGGAAAAGGUGGGAGAAGGGUGUUGGAGGCAGAGGGCUCAGCCUGAGCAAAGGUGUAUUUGUCUGAUGGGCUCUGGAAACCCUGGACUCCAGGUUCUGGAAACUUCAGGUAAUUCAGUGUGACAGGACCAUGAGUGGGACUGUAUGCAGCACGGGGUCUAGUGACAAGGCCCUGCUGAGAAGGUUGGAGCUGGUCCUAAAGCCCUCAGGCAGCACCUGAGGGAUUGUUCCUAACUGUGCUCUGAUAGCAGUUGAGUAGAUCGGAAGGUUGGUAUUCUGUUGUGAAACUUGAGGAGCCAGCCAAAGCAGUGUUUCUCCCUGUGGGGAGGCUCUCUCCCACCCCUGACCUGCUUCCAUCUCCUGCGUGGAGGUAAGCCCUAUUGCAGGUGCCAAUUUUUUUUCUCAGAAUUCCCAUAAUUCCUUAGACAAGAACUAUGUUGGGACAGUCCUUUUUCAGGUCUUCUAGAUCCCUGCUGAUUUUAUGUCUACUUGUUCUGUUGAUGACUGAGAGAGGUGUGUUGAAGCCCCCAACUAUAAUCAUGGUUUUAUCGGUUUCUUUCAGAUCUCUCAGUUUUUGCAUGUAUUUUGAAGCUAUGUUGUUGGAGGAAAUAGACAUUUAGAAUUGUCUUCUUGGUAAAUUGACCUCUUUAUCAUUCUGUAAUGUCCUAUUUAUCCCUAGCAGUAUUUCUUAUUCUGAAGUCUGUUUUGUCUGAUGUUGAUACAGCUACUCCACCUUUCUUUUAAUUUAGUGUUUGUAUGAUUUUUUCCAUCCUUUUGCCUGCAACUAAUUUAUGUCUUUAUAUUUAAAGUGGGUUUCCUGUAGACUGCAUAUUGGGUUUUGCAUUUUUCUCUAAUCUGACAAUGUGUUUCAAUUAGUGUGUUUAGAUCAUUUACAUUUCAUGUUGUUGAUAUGGUUGGAUUAAAAUCUGCCAUCUUGGGGCCGGCCCGGUGGCGCAGCAGUUAAGUGUGCAUGUUCUGCUUUGGCCGCCUGGGGUUCACCAGUUCAGAUCCUUGGUGCGGACAUGGCACCACUUGUCAAGCCAUGCUGUGGUAGGCGUCCCACAUAUAAAGUAGAGGAAGAUGGGCACGGAUGUUAGCUCAGGGCCAGUCUUCCUCAGCAAAAGGAAGAGGG